rnacentral:rRNA from 1 species
GUGUGUUACAAGUAUCACACGGAACUGCCGGUCAUAAACCGGAGGAAGGUGGGGAUGACGUCAAGUCAGCAUGGCCUUUAUAUCCUGGGUUACACACACGCUACAAUGGGAAGGGACAAUAGGUUGCGAAGCCGCGAGGCGGAGCCAAUCCAGCAAAACUUCCCUCAGUUCAGAUUGCAGGCUGCAACCCGCCUGCAUGAAGUUGGAGUUGCUAGUAAACGCAGGUCAGCCAUACUGCGUUGAAUACGUUCCCGGGGCUU